rnacentral:lncRNA from 1 species
ACAUAUACACACACACACACAUAUAUAUAUAUAUAUACACACAUGUAUUAGAUCCCAAAGGCGCGAGUCUGUGACCCAGUCAAAAGCAGAAACGUACAACAUCAUAUUUAAUGAUAAUCAUAUGGGCAUUAAUAAUAAUUAUGAUGAUAGCAAGUAUAAUCGUUUCUUAUUUAUAACGGUACUCUCUCUAGUAAUUAAUUAAUGUUUAAUUGCUAACUGGCGACAAUGGUGCAGGGCAGUGGCUUCGUGUUCACAUAAAAUGCAACUCAAAUUCGUGCGCCUUCAUACUGCAUGCGUGCACUGACCUAAACUCACACACACACAUUACACACACACACACACCAUACACACACGUGUGUAUUUAUGUGUGAUCGUAACAAGAGAGUCGACAAUUGUGA